UACGUAGGGUCCGAGCGUUGUCCGGAAUUACUGGGCGUAAAGAGCUCGUAGGUGGUUUGUCGCGUUGUUCGUGAAAACUCACAGCUCAACUGUGGGCGUGCGGGCGAUACGGGCAGACUGGAGUACUGCAGGGGAGACUGGAAUUCCUGUGGUAGCGGUGGGAAUGCGCAGAUAUCAGGAGGAACACCGGUGGCGAAGGCGGGUCUCUGGGCAGUGAACUGACGCUGAGGAGCGAAAGCGUGGGGAGCGA
rnacentral:rRNA from 1 species